AUGAUCCGCCGCCGCGGUGGUUCGCCGCUUGAAGACGACGACAUGCUCGGGGAGAUCCUCCUCCGCCUCCCGCCCCAGCCGUCCUCCCUCCCUCGCGCCUCGGCCGUCUGCAAGCGCUGGCGAGGCCUCCUCACCAAUCCCGGAUUCCUCCGCCGCUUCCGCACGCACCACCGGGAGCCGCCCCUCCUCGGCGUCUUUCAUCAGCUCGAGUUCACUCCAGUCCUUGCAGCUCCUGACCGCAUACCUUUUGGGUGCCUUGACCUGCCAACCCGCGACUUGUGGGGCCGGUUGCUCGAUUGCCGCCAUGGCCGAGUCCUCAUCCUACACAGGUUCCGUCCUGAAGUCCUUGUGUGUGACCCCAUCAUGGGCGACCAACAAUGUGUGCCAAUUCCGCCUGAGUUCAAGAGGGGCUACCUCAACGGGACGGUGCUCUGUGCUGCAUGUGACAAGGGCCAUGUGCACGGUGGUUGCCACUCCACCCCUUUUAAGGUGGUCUUGCUGCUUAGUAAUGAUAGGCGUCCUCUCACCUCUGUUUAUUCCUCUGAGACGGGCACAUGGGGCGGUCUCAUCUCAACAGAGGUUCCAUGUCUUUAUAGUUGUAACGGUUAUAUUAGCACCCUUGUUGGUAAUGUCCUUUACUGGUCGUUUAUGUACGCGAAGAUGUGCAUACUUGGGUUUGAUUUGGAAAGGCAGAGCAUUGAUGUGAUCAAGGGGCCUCCCGGUAUGAAUCGAACACACAGCCACCGGAUCAUCCAGGCAGAGGACGGCACUGUUGCUAUUGUCAUGUUGUCUUACCGUUAUCAAAACAUUCAAAUAUGGCACAUGAAGGUCAAUUGCCAUGGUGUUUCCACAUGGGUGUUGUGGAAGACCAUUGAAACUGAUAAUAUUCUUGGACUCCCCACUCAGGUUGGAGGCGAGCAGGAAUUGCUGAAAUAUAUACUAGGAUAUGUUGAGGACACCGAUGGAAUAUUUUUAGAUGUGAAUGACAGUAUCUAUAUGGUUCAACUUAACUCGUUGCAAUCAAGGAAACUUUGUGAAACCCGUGAUAUUACUUCCUAUCAUUCUUUCAGGAGUUUCUAUGCGGCAGGUGAUUGUUCAUCCCAAAUCCUCAUACUAUAG
rnacentral:rRNA from 1 species